rnacentral:ncRNA from 1 species
GCCGCGGGACGACCCGUGGCUUACCAAAACGGCGGGACGGCCCGC